rnacentral:rRNA from 1 species
GACGAACCGAGCGAACGUUGUUCGGAAUCACUGGGCGUAAAGCGCACGUAGGCGGAUCUUUAAGUCAGAGGUGAAAUCCCAAGGCUCAACCUUGGAACUGCCUUUGAUACUGGGGAUCUCGAGUCCGGAAGAGGUGAGUGGAACUGCGAGUGUAGAGGUGAAAUUCGUAGAUAUUCGCAAGAACACCGGUGGCGAAGGCGGGUCUCUGGGCCGAUACUGACGCUGAGGAGCGAAAGCGUGGGGAGCGAACAGG